AUGCGGUCCAGCUGCCGGAAGGAGUGGGACAGUAGGGUGGUCUUCUCCGGGAAGCUGUCGUCCAGCGGCAGCGGGAAGAAGCUGCUGAAUGGCGCCAACACCAGCUGCAGCUUCUGCGAGGAGCGAAAGGGAAAAGACCGGAAACGUUCCCGUGGAGCUACACCUGGGGGUUUCUAAUUAACACCAACACGUGUUCAGGAGUUCGCUCACUCAUCUACCUUUUCCAGCAGCUCCACUCUGUUCCUCAGGCUCUGGACCUCCUCCGUGACGUUUUCCGCCAGGCCGAAGCUUCCUCCUGGAAGGAGACACGCAGACAAAACGCGCAUGCGUCACGAUAUGUAGGCGACCGCGCAUUAGCGGCGACGGAAGGAACGAAUGACUGAAACGCUUCAAAAACCAAAAAUAAGAAUAGGUUAAUAAUAGUAAAAAAAAACAAACAAACAAAAAAACAGUGAAUUUAGCUCAGGGAAAUCAAUAGCAAACGUCAGCGUGUUUUAUUGGGAUUUUGUGUGUCAAACCAACACAACUUGGUGGCAGUUUAUGACGUGCAAGGAAAAAAGAUACAUGGUAUCCAAACUAUUUUUUAUUUAUUUAUUUUUUACAAAUUAAAAUCUAAAAUCUGUACAUUUUAUUUCACCUGGAUAUUUAUCGACAGAAUUUUCUGGCAGUCAUUUCUGGUGCUGCCAGAGAUUAUUCUCCGUUGGUUUUAGGGUCAUUUAGGCCAUUCUGACUGUCGCCAUACUGGCUUCAAUCCAAAGUUUCUGGUUUAAAGCACUUUUGUGUCACAAAAGUGUUUGGGGAUUGUUGUUUUUUUUGGUCCUUUAUUGAUAACAAUAAAUUUGCUGCUUGCUUAUGCAAGCCAAACAUGUGAUUAAUAAAAGACAAGCACUUAAGAGUUAUAUUUUCCAGUUUGAGAAGAACAUCUCUUGCUUGGGAGAAUCAACCCCUAAAAAAACUAAAGCAAAAUAAAUCAUUGGAUCUGUAGUGUUCUUAGACUAUACAAAAUCUUUCCAAGGGCCACAAAUGGAAAAUAAAAUUACUAAAACACCUUUUUUUCUAUACUAAUCUGUAACAAACUACCGACUCCUUCAUAGAACAACUGUAUUAAUGUUGAACUGAAGUUAAACACUUUUUCCACUAAUAAAGCGACUCCUGAAGGUCAGUUGUUGCACUGGACGGCACUUAGUGAUUUAAGAGUAAGCAGAGUUCACUUCGAAGGUGACACUUUUAUUCAAAAUGAUCAUUUAAAAACCACCUUUUUUUUUUUAUCUCUCCCCUUCAACUUCACAAUUAUUCACAACUUUCUGUGACCAAGAAGUGAAAAAGUUCCAGCGGUGCGACCAGAAAUAGGCGAGCAAAACGCUCAAACCCUCCUGUGAAUCGGUAGCGUCUGGCUCAGAGCCCCUCGAAGGGGGGAAUGUUCCUUCCAGAGACGGGGACUCUGACCAGGAUGCGGAUUUAAGAACAACCCCACCACCACCCGGCCUCUCCUUCCACGUCUUUGGUUGCACCUCUGCUGACAGACAGGGAGAUGUUCAAUCUCUCCCAGAUGUGGUCCACACUGGAGUGGAAUAAGCUAAGUAGGAGGCGCAAAAGGGAAAAGAUCGGGAGACGAGGGAGGCGGGGCGGGGGGAACAAACUGGGGUGCAUGACCCCCAGCAGACAGAGUUGAUGGAGCUGGAAUGAGAACACAAGCCCCCGGCCAAGAACAGAGAGGAAGAAAAAAAAAGUAAAAAGGCGGGAGGCUGAAAAGCCUAAAUGCGAUCCAAUGCAUCUUGGCAGAGCGAGAGUCGGCUCCCCGAGCCUCUGUUUACACUCGUGAUCUCCAUCAACAUGCCUCCGACAUGUGUAUAUGAGCAGAUAACAGAAAGACGUCUCUCUAGCGAAAAGGCUCGCAGACGUCCGUCUGCAGGCCCGCGCUUGCAAAAAAAUUUUUUGAAAAAGAAAGAAAGAAAAAAAGAAAAUCUCUAAAUUCUCUUUCAUGUUUUUUGCUCUUCUGUGCGUUUCUCUAGCCGAUCCAUCACGGUCGCCGUGGAGGUGAACCUUCGGAGCUUGUGGUCAGUUGCCAGAAGAAAUUCUGAUAGAUGGAGGGGAGUUUGGAGGAAGAGGAGGAGGAGGAGGAGGAGGAGGAAGGCCUGGGAGAUUUGGCAAUCUCUCGUUUAUGCACAGAUAUUUCUUUUACUCUGAGUGCAGGAGACAGCAUUCUCCCCAUCGUCCAAAUCUCCCCCUUUUGAUUUCACAGUUAGGUGACUCACCAAAAAAAAAAGAAAAAAAGAAAAGGAAAAAUUCCCCAGGCUGGAAAGAGUUGAAGAAAUCAGGAAGAGCUGCGUCUACUUCAAUUU